rnacentral:tRNA from 1 species
UGCAUCGGCCGGGAAUCGAACUUGGGCCGCCCGUGUGGCAGGCGAGCAUUCUACCACUGAACCACCGAAGG